UAAGCUUCCCACACCGUAGCUUGAUACCGGAUUGGAAGACAUUAGAAUUGUAUAAUAGUUGUCACCAAGGUCGUCCAUUUUCUCAUCUUGUAAACGUAAAAACUUCAUGUCAAUUGAAGGAGUUAAGCUGCCAGAUUUUGGAGUGGAACAAUCUGAUCCUUUGUCAAGCUCUAAACAUUCUACACUUAAUAGGUUUUUAGACUUUGAAUCGUCGAAAUCCAAUUUUGCGCAAUUUUGUCGCAAAGAUUUAUGAACAUCAUUAGCGUUAACUUCAUUAAAUUCAUUUGAAUUGACCAAUUGAAAAGUCUGAGACUGUUUAGUUAUUGCUUCGUCAACAGUAUUACCAUCCGAAGAAACAGAAUAUCUAGUAACCAGCUCUUCUUCAGGUUCCAAUGGUAAAGUAUUGCUCGUAGGUCGAGGAGGAAGCUGAAAUUUGAACCGAGGAGGCUGCUUGCUAUUAGACUUAUUAAUUGAAUG